rnacentral:misc_RNA from 1 species
GGAGGAGGAGGAGGAAGAAGAAGACGAGCAGGAGGAGGAGGUGCAGGAGAAAGACAAAGGUGAAAGGGACAUCUCAUCUAAUAGACAAGAGGUACACCCAAUCAUCCUUGAUGCUUCUAUUGACGUGCCAUCAGAAAUAAGAAGAGCUGCUGUGAUGGAAACUUUAUCAACUGAGGAGAUGCAAGAACGAUUGGACCAGUUUUCUUACAUCAUGCAGGAAAAGUUUUUAUUAGGAGAAGAUAAUCUGGAUUACUCAAAAAUUGACGAGGAUGAGACCUUGGAUGAUCACUGGAUAAAAGAAGCAAAUUAUGAUGCUGAAGAGAAGUACUUUGAUGAUGACUGAGCUUUAAUUACCGAGUGGUUUUUAGCUUUUGA